CUUCUGGUCCGAUGACAAACUUCACUGCUUUGGCUCGGCCAACUUGGAUGGCACAGACAUAAAGGUAUUCCAGCUGGCUCAGAUUCAUAGUCCCUUCUCGGUGACGGUCUUUGAGGAUUACCUCUAUUGGUCCGAGAUGAAAACGAGGACUGUGCAGAAGGUAGACAAAAGGACCGGCAAGAACAGAGCAGUCCUCAUCAAGCGCCAUGGACAGCCAUAUGGGCUAAAGGUAAUGCAUGAAGUUCUUCGGCCAGCGGCACCCAACCCCUGUGAAAGAAGCGGCUGUUCACAUCUGUGCCUGUUGACUGCCUACGGAAGAGGAAGCUGCUUU